rnacentral:rRNA from 1 species
CCAGACUCCUACGGGAGGCAGCAGUCGGGAAUAUUGCACAAUGGAGGAAACUCUGAUGCAGUGACACCGCGUAUAGGAAGAAGGCUUUCGGGUUGUAAACUUCUUUUGACGGGGAAGAGCAGAAGACGGUACCUGUCGAAUAAGCCACGGCUAACUACGUGCCAGCAGCCGCGGUAAUACGUAGGUGGCAAGCGUUGUCCGGAUUUACUGGGUGUAAAGGGCGUGUAGCCGGGCUGACAAGUCAGAUGUGAAAUCCGGGGGCUCAACCCCCGAACUGCAUUUGAAACUGUUGGUCUUGAGUAUCGGAGAGGCAGGCGGAAUUCCUAGUGUAGCGGUGAAAUGCGUAGAUAUUAGGAGGAACACCAGUGGCGAAGGCGGCCUGCUGGACGACAACUGACGGUGAGGCGCGAAAGCGUGGGGAGCAAACAGGAUUAGAUACCCCCGUA